AGUGAACGCUGGCGGUAGGCCUAACACAUGCAAGUCGAACGGCAGCACAGUAAGAGCUUGCUCUUACGGGUGGCGAGUGGCGGACGGGUGAGGAAUACAUCGGAAUCUACUUUUUCGUGGGGGAUAACGUAGGGAAACUUACGCUAAUACCGCAUACGACCUACGGGUGAAAGCAGGGGAUCUUCGGACCUUGCGCGAUUGAAUGAGCCGAUGUCGGAUUAGCUAGUUGGCGGGGUAAAGGCCCACCAAGGCGACGAUCCGUAGCUGGUCUGAGAGGAUGAUCAGCCACACUGGAACUGAGACACGGUCCAGACUCCUACGGGAGGCAGCAGUGGGGAAUAUUGGACAAUGGGCGCAAGCCUGAUCCAGCCAUACCGCGUGGGUGAAGAAGGCCUUCGGGUUGUAAAGCCCUUUCGUUGGGAAAGAAAAGCAGCAGGUUAAUACCCCGCUGUUCCGACGGUACCCAAAGAAUAAGCACCGGCUAACUUCGUG
rnacentral:rRNA from 1 species